CUCUUCGGGGAUGAUUAAACCGGCGCACGGGUGAGUAACACGUGAGUGACCUGCCUUUUAGACUGGAACAACUUACCGAAAGGUGAGCUAAUGCCGGAUGAGUUAUAUAAGUGCAUGUUUAUAUAGGAAAAGCUGGGGAGACCUGACGCUGAAAGAUGGACUCGCGUCCCAUUAGCUAGUUGGUAGGGUAAUGGCCUACCAAGGCGACGAUGGGUAGCCGGCCUGAGAGGGUGGCCGGCCACACUGGGACUGAGACACGGCCCAGACUCCUACGGGAGGCAGCAGUGGGGAAUUUUGCGCAAUGCUCGUAAGAGUGACGCAGCGACGCCGCGUGAAUGACGAAGGCCUUCGGGUCGUAAAGUUCUUUCGACAGGGAAGAAAAUGCCUAUAAGUAACUGUGUAUGUAUUGACGGUACCUGUAUAAGCAGCCCCGGCUAACUCCGUGCCAGCAGCCGCGGUAAUACGGAGGGGGCGAGCGUUGUUCGGAGUGACUGGGCGUAAAGAGCACGUAGGCGGUGUUGUAAGUCAUUAGUCAAAGACUAGAGCUCAACUUUAGUAAGGCUAGUGAUACUAUAAUACUAGAGUAUCAGAGAGGAUUGCAGAAUUCCUGGUGUAGCGGUGAAAUGCGUAGAUAUCAGGAGGAAUACCGUUAGCGAAGGCGGCAAUCUGGCUGGAAACUGACGCUGAGGUGCGAAAGCGUGGGUAGCAAACAGGAUUAGAUACCCUGGUAGUCCACGCUGUAAACGAUGGAUGCUAGGUGUUGGGCUUUUAAGUUCAGU
rnacentral:rRNA from 1 species